GGUUAGGAUCCGGGUGUCCUAGCAUCCUGAGCUGCCAAUAGAAGCCGAGAGACACCUAGAACUAUCAGCACAGAAGCAAUCUGAAGGCUGUUCCGUGGUGAAGCGCCACCUUUUCCCCUGCAAUUACUAUCCCAGAAGUGCCUAGAGGGUCCAGCUGAGACUGGUGCCCCACUGUGCUGGGAGCUGCAUAUAUACAGACUGAGGAACAACUCCAACCUCAGAAAGCUCACAUUCUAAAUAAACAAGCCACACAUAGGAUGGGAGUGGAACAAGAGGUCCAAAAGAGGUGAAGUGAACUUGCCCAAGGUCACAUGACAGUUCCAAGAUUUCACUCACACAUGACUUCCUGUGCCAGCGAGAGAGAAUAAGCCUGGCGAAGAGACAAGAUAAAUUAAAACCAAGGCCAAAAGAAAAAGGAUUUGCCAGUGUCUUGUUCUCAUUAUUCACUAAGGGCCAAACAGCUAGGCAAAUGUUUGGCCUGACUAUCUCCACAGCCAGAUGAGUUGAAAGGAAUCUUCCCUGUUAUGCUACUGAGCUUGUCUGGAGUUGUCUAACAGAUGGACUGUACAUGGGGCUUAAGUCAACCUGCGACUUGAGAUGAGUGCACGAUGGGGUGGCCUGCUUGGCAGAUGGUCAGAUGUUCUUCGGCAAGAGCACAUGGCAUCUAUGCUCUGAGAUCUGCACUGGCUGCCUCUUAUUCCCAAGUGGACUUUAAGGCACCAAUUUUUAAUUUAUAGAACCCUGAUUGGAUUAGGUUCUGCUUUGUUAAAAAUCUGACUCUCUCCCCUGUGCAAGACUGCCUCAGGCAUGGUUAGCAGGGAAGCCGGGGCUGCACCCCCCUUUGUAUAAUCAAGAUAGUGCGGCCGGCCAGGCAUUCUCUGCAAGAGGCCCUCAGCUUUGGACCCGACUCCCCUGCCCAGUUAACCUGAAAGCUGUUGUCUUUCAGAGCUCUCCCCAGGCCUCGCUCUUCUCCCAUGUUUCUGAGGAGGGAGGCCUUAUGAUGAGGGCUGUUUGUGAUAAUGCGGGGGGACUGGAUGGGUUUUGAUUCUAUCUUUGGUUUAAUAUUUUCUGCUUUGGGGAAAGGAGCAGGCUGCUGGUACAGCCUCUUUAAUGGGAUUUGUUUUAAUGUAUGGCAAAGAUGCCUAGGGCCCAGGAUUACUGCCCUUGGAGUGGUGUGCAGGGGGUAGAACAAAGAGGAAUAGUGUACCAGCCUCAGUUAUGUGAUGUGGGCCUUGGAAAUUAACAACAGAAGGUAUUCAUAAUACUGAAUGCCUAGUUCCUGCCCAUCCCUGGAGCACUGCUGCAGAGUGGUGGUACACACCAUGUCAGUGGCUGCACACACACACCCCAUCGCUCCCCUCCCCCCUUAAAUUCUGAUUCCUUGCACAACCAAGCUACACGGAUUCUACUGCCAGCAAUGCAGAAUACAGCCAAUGGCCAGGCCCUUCUCAGCUGUGCAUGCAUGCAAUUGUGUGUGUGUGUGUGUGUGUGUGUGUGUAUGUGUACAUUUUAACAUGUGCAGUUCUGAAAAUCUUGACAAUAACCUAUUCCUAACUGGAAAAGUCUUCAGGUAUGCAGCCUGGAUGCCAUUGCCAGUUGCACUACUUUGAACUUCAGCGAGCUAUGUGAAUACAAAGACGAAACUAUAAACUGAUCUCCAUGGCACAAUGUAUCCACUGCAACCAAAGACACCAGCCUAAUAAUGGGCUAUUGAUUUCGUGCUCUGCAGAGUUCUUGUGAACAGAAGCUCACUCCAAGGAUUUGUGUUUCCACCUCCAAGAAGUCAGCAAUAGGGUGGGGUGUGAAAUAGAAACAUAGAUAUGAUUUGUGCCUGUCCCUGGCCCAACACUCGCACACAUCUGUAUUGUAAUCUGUGACCCACACUCCUAAAUGAGAGAGACAAAUUAACAUUUCAGACAAAUCCAUGAGAGAACUGCACUCGUGGCUGAUUUUGUGGUAUGUGGAAGGAUGAGUUCUAGUUACUUUUGCCUUUCUAAUGCAGCUGAUGAGGAUUGAGAUAAAGAGCAUUUAUUACACUUGUUUACACUCCAGAGCUAAAAUCCAGCAAAAAUGAGUGACAUAGAAGCAGAAUAGAGGAAACGCAAACACAGUUACAUCACACCCUUCCUUUAGGUUUUUAAAGUAUGCGGUGCGUUAGCUGUGUGACUCCCAUUAAAAUCAACAGGGGUUUGGGCAUCUAAAACCAUGCAGAUUUUGUGCACAUUUAACCACUUAUGAAAAGAAAACCAACAAACCCCUGCUCUUUGAAUGCAUCCACAUAGAUGGGCAUGAACGAUUUUGCUCCCUCAGAAUUUCAUAACACGCAAAUCCAACUCUUUAGAAGAUAUGCGUAAGAUAAAUAUAGAGAAGAGAGCAUCUCAGCUAAUUAAACUCUUGGCAAGGUGAAAUGCUGAAAGUUUAAUUAGCUGACUUCUGUGCAUCUCUCUGGAUGUGCCUGCUACAAGGGGGUUUAAUAUAAAAUCAACUAAAACUGGAUCUAAUUUUUUGAUACGUAGAAAUCCAAUGAAAUUACCAGUCUUCCCCCUUUUACUAGGAAAGGCACGUGGGCAGAAACAGCAAAAGAGAUAAUGUGGUCAUUCUCU